rnacentral:rRNA from 1 species
UGCAGUCGAGCGAACAGACGAGGAGCUUGCUCCUCUGACGUUAGCGGCGGACGGGUGAGUAACACGUGGAUAACCUACCUAUAAGACUGGGAUAACUUCGGGAAACCGGAGCUAAUACCGGAUAAUAUAUUGAACCGCAUGGUUCAAUAGUGAAAGACGGUUUUGCUGUCACUUAUAGAUGGAUCCGCGCCGCAUUAGCUAGUUGGUAAGGUAACGGCUUACCAAGGCAACGAUGCGUAGCCGACCUGAGAGGGUGAUCGGCCACACUGGAACUGAGACACGGUCCAGACUCCUACGGGAGGCAGCAGUAGGGAAUCUUCCGCAAUGGGCGAAAGCCUGACGGAGCAACGCCGCGUGAGUGAUGAAGGUCUUCGGAUCGUAAAACUCUGUUAUUAGGGAAGAACAAAUGUGUAAGUAACUAUGCACGUCUUGACGGUACCUAAUCAGAAAGCCACGGCUAACUACGUGCCAGCAGCCGCGGUAAUACGUAGGUGGCAAGCGUUAUCCGGAAUUAUUGGGCGUAAAGCGCGCGUAGGCGGUUUUUUAAGUCUGAUGUGAAAGCCCACGGCUCAACCGUGGAGGGUCAUUGGAAACUGGAAAACUUGAGUGCACAAGAUGAAAGUGGAAUUCCAUGUGUAGCG